CAUUCCUGUGUUUUUGUUUUGCUAGAAGACCCUGAGUCAAAUUGCACCAGGCUUGUGUACUCCUAGUUAUUAUUGGAUAUAACAAUGUGAAGAUUUUGAUAUUUUGUUUCACCCUGGGACUUACUUGCUCCCCACGCUCUUUGGCGUCUGGCAACUAUUGGGAUUGACUGACCUAGCAAAUACACAAGCUAUGAAUUUCUGUUUGUGCUUGUUCAUGUGUAUAUGUGUGAAAUGUGAAAAUUGUCUCUAUGGCUCUUGAUAUUUUGUUUAGCCCAGGGAUUUACUUGUUCCAUAAUGUUAUCUGAUGUCCGGCAACUAUUGGAAUUGACUGCUCUACCAACUCCACUAUCUGAUGUCCGGCAAGUUGUGGGCUAGAUGAGGAAAGAUUGAUCUUGAUGAACUUAAGGUUGCAUAAAAUUGACGGCUUUGAAAGGAAAAAUAUUGCAUAUUGGAUGGACUAAAAUUAUGGAGAGCAUCUUCUCAUUCCUUUAGGCGCGUGCUGGUGUAACACCAUUGGUUUAAAUAUAUGGCAUAGAUACAGAUUCAUAAGCAGUGGCUGGGGGUUCCCUUCAUCUUGAUAGUUUGAUUGAAGUCGUGUUUGUGAUGUUUGAUUGCAUUCGUUCAGCAGACAAAACCAAAGCCAACAUAUGGUUCUGUUGAUAUGGUAUUUAAUUAGUGCUUUAGGUGUCAUUCUAAGAAGAUUAUCUUUUUAUCUGACAAA